rnacentral:rRNA from 1 species
UAGGGAAUCUUCGGCAAUGGACGAAAGUCUGACCGAGCAACGCCGCGUGAGUGAAGAAGGUUUUCGGAUCGUAAAACUCUGUUGUUAGAGAAGAACAAGGACGUUAGUAACUGAACAUCCCCUGACGGUAUCUAACCAGAAAGCCACGGCUAACUACGUGCCAGCAGCCGCGGUAAUACGUAGGUGGCAAGCGUUGUCCGGAUUUAUUGGGCGUAAAGCGAGCGCAGGCGGUUUCUUAAGUCUGAUGUGAAAGCCCCCGGCUCAACCGGGGAGGGUCAUUGGAAACGGGGAGACUUGAGUGCAGAAGAGGAGAGUGGAAUUCCAUGUGUAGCGGAGAAAUGCGUAGAUAUAUGGAGGAACACCAGUGGAGAAGGCGGCUCUCUGGUCUGUAACUGACGCUGAGGCUAGAAAGCGUGGGGAGCAAACAGG